GACGAACGCUGGCGGCGUGCUUAACACAUGCAAGUCGAACGGUGAAGCGCCUUCCUUUUUGGUGGGUGUGGAUGAGUGGCGAACGGGUGAGUAACACGUGAGUAACCUGCCCCCUUCUUCUGGAUAACCGCAUGAAAGUGUGGCUAAUACGGGAUAUUCUGGGUCUGUCGCAUGAUGGGUCUGGGAAAGAUAUUGUUUCGGUGGGGGAUGGGCCCGCGGCCUAUCAGCUUGUUGGUGGGGUGAUGGCCUACCAAGGCGGUGACGGGUAGCCGGCCUGAGAGGGUGGACGGUCACACUGGGACUGAGACACGGCCCAGACUCCUACGGGAGGCAGCAGUGGGGAAUAUUGCACAAUGGGCGCAAGCCUGAUGCAGCGACGCCGCGUGAGGGAUGGAGGCCUUCGGGCUGUGAACCUCUUUCGCCAGUGAAGCAGGCCUGCCUCGUUUGUGGGUGGGUUGACGGUAGCUGGAUAAGAAGCGCCGGCUAACUACGUG
rnacentral:rRNA from 1 species